ACCCCUGUGGCGCAAUGGAUUAGCGCGUUGGACUUCUAAUUCAAAGGUUUUGGGUUCGAGUCCCAUCGGGGGUG
rnacentral:tRNA from 1 species